rnacentral:rRNA from 1 species
GGUUAAGCGACUAAGCGUACACGGUGGAUGCCCUGGCAGUCAGAGGCGAUGAAGGGCGUGCUAAUCUGCGAUAAGCGCCGGUAAGGUGAUAUGAACCGUUAUAACCGGCGAUACCCGAAUGGGGAAACCCAGUGUGACUCGUCACACUAUCAUUAACUGAAUCCAUAGGUUAAUGAGGCGAACCGGGGGAACUGAAACAUCUAAGUACCCCGAGGAAAAGAAAUCAACCGAGAUUCCCCCAGUAGCGGCGAGCGAACGGGGAGGAGCCCAGAGCCUGAAUCAGCAUGUGUGUUAGUGGAAGCGUCUGGAAAGGCGCGCGAUACAGGGUGACAGCCCCGUACACAAAAGCGCAUGUGCUGUGAGCUCGAUGAGUAGGGCGGGACACGUGGUAUCCUGUCUGAAUAUGGGGGGACCAUCCUCCAAGGCUAAAUACUCCUGACUGACCGAUAGUGAACCAGUACCGUGAGGGAAAGGCGAAAAGAACCCCGGCGAGGGGAGUGAAAAAGAACCUGAAACCGUGUACGUACAAGCAGUGGGAGCACAGGUUUACCUGUGUGACUGCGUACCUUUUGUAUAAUGGGUCAGCGACUUAUAUUCUGUAGCAAGGUUAACCGUAUAGGGGAGCCGCAGGGAAACCGAGUCUUAACCGGGCGUUAAGUUGCAGGGUAUAGACCCGAAACCCGGUGAUCUAGUCAUGGGCAGGUUGAAGGUUGGGUAACACUAACUGGAGGACCGAACCGACUAAUGUUGAAAAAUUAGCGGAUGACCUGUGGCUGGGGGUGAAAGGCCAAUCAAACCGGGAGAUAGCUGGUUCUCCCCGAAAGCUAUUUAGGUAGCGCCUCGUGAAUUCAUCUCCGGGGGUAGAGCACUGUUUCGGCUAGGGGGCCAUCCCGGCUUACCAACCCGAUGCAAACUGCGAAUACCGGAGAAUGUUAUCACGGGAGACACACGGCGGGUGCUAACGUCCGUCGUGAAGAGGGAAACAACCCAGACCGCCAGCUAAGGUCCCAAAGUCAUGGUUAAGUGGGAAACGAUGUGGGAAGGCCCAGACAGCCAGGAUGUUGGCUUAGAAGCAGCCAUCAUUUAAAGAAAGCGUAAUAGCUCACUGGUCGAGUCGGCCUGCGCGGAAGAUGUAACGGGGCUAAACCAUGCACCGAAGCUGCGGCAGCGAACGUAUCACUUAAAGCGAUUCAGCGGGUUACGAUUGACGGAGCGAAGCGACGUCAAAGCGUAUACAAAGUCGAGUCGGUUUAAGGAUACGUUCGUUGGGUAGGGGAGCGUUCUGUAAGCCUGUGAAGGUGGCCUGUGAGGGUUGCUGGAGGUAUCAGAAGUGCGAAUGCUGACAUAAGUAACGAUAAAGCGGGUGAAAAGCCCGCUCGCCGGAAGACCAAGGGUUCCUGUCCAACGUUAAUCGGGGCAGGGUGAGUCGACCCCUAAGGCGAGGCCGAAAGGCGUAGUCGAUGGGAAACGGGUUAAUAUUCCCGUACUUGGUGUUACUGCGAAGGGGGGACGGAGAAGGCUAUGUUGGCCGGGCGACGGUUGUCCCGGUUUAAGCGUGUAGGUGUGUGUUCCAGGUAAAUCCGGUUCACUUUAACACUGAGGCGUGACGACGAGGCACUACGGUGCUGAAGCAACAAAUGCCCUGCUUCCAGGAAAAGCCUCUAAGCAUCAGGUAACAUCAAAUCGUACCCCAAACCGACACAGGUGGUCAGGUAGAGAAUACCAAGGCGCUUGAGAGAACUCGGGUGAAGGAACUAGGCAAAAUGGUGCCGUAACUUCGGGAGAAGGCACGCUGACACGUAGGUGAAGUGAUUUACUCAUGGAGCUGAAGUCAGUCGAAGAUACCAGCUGGCUGCAACUGUUUAUUAAAAACACAGCACUGUGCAAACACGAAAGUGGACGUAUACGGUGUGACGCCUGCCCGGUGCCGGAAGGUUAAUUGAUGGGGUCAGCGCAAGCGAAGCUCCUGAUCGAAGCCCCGGUAAACGGCGGCCGUAACUAUAACGGUCCUAAGGUAGCGAAAUUCCUUGUCGGGUAAGUUCCGACCUGCACGAAUGGCGUAAUGAUGGCCAGGCUGUCUCCACCCGAGACUCAGUGAAAUUGAACUCGCUGUGAAGAUGCAGUGUACCCGCGGCAAGACGGAAAGACCCCGUGAACCUUUACUAUAGCUUGACACUGAACAUUGAGCCUUGAUGUGUAGGAUAGGUGGGAGGCUUUGAAGUGUGGACGCCAGUCUGCAUGGAGCCGACCUUGAAAUACCACCCUUUAAUGUUUGAUGUUCUAACGUGGACCCGUAAUCCGGGUUGCGGACAGUGUCUGGUGGGUAGUUUGACUGGGGCGGUCUCCUCCUAAAGAGUAACGGAGGAGCACGAAGGUUGGCUAAUCCUGGUCGGACAUCAGGAGGUUAGUGCAAUGGCAUAAGCCAGCUUGACUGCGAGCGUGACGGCGCGAGCAGGUGCGAAAGCAGGUCAUAGUGAUCCGGUGGUUCUGAAUGGAAGGGCCAUCGCUCAACGGAUAAAAGGUACUCCGGGGAUAACAGGCUGAUACCGCCCAAGAGUUCAUAUCGACGGCGGUGUUUGGCACCUCGAUGUCGGCUCAUCACAUCCUGGGGCUGAAGUAGGUCCCAAGGGUAUGGCUGUUCGCCAUUUAAAGUGGUACGCGAGCUGGGUUUAGAACGUCGUGAGACAGUUCGGUCCCUAUCUGCCGUGGGCGCUGGAGAACUGAGGGGGGCUGCUCCUAGUACGAGAGGACCGGAGUGGACGCAUCACUGGUGUUCGGGUUGUCAUGCCAAUGGCACUGCCCGGUAGCUAAAUGCGGAAGAGAUAAGUGCUGAAAGCAUCUAAGCACGAAACUUGCCCCGAGAUGAGUUCUCCCUGAGACUUAGAGUCUCCUGAAGGAACGUUGAAGACGACGACGUUGAUAGGCCGGGUGUGUAAGCGCAGCGAUGCGUUGAGCUAACCGGUACUAAUGAACCGUGAGGCUUAACCUU